GGUUGGCAUGGUAUACAUAAGAAUACACGAAUGUAACUUCGUUCAGUUGGAGCUAAAAUUGCUGUGCGUCGUGUUUAAGAUCUGUUAGCACUUAGCUGAUUGUUCUGUGGUAUUUUUUGACGAAAUUUGCUGUCAUAAAAUCACAAUACGUUGUACUUACAUGCAUGCGUGAACGUGAUUUGUAGCAUUAUAUAGAAAAAAUCUUACGGGUAGAUUCGGUUUGCCUCACAUGCACAAAGACAGUGUUCAUUCUGUACACUGUGAAGCAAAUACCAGAAUUUUUCGAGGAGUCAUCGUGCCUCAGUCUCCCCUACAACUUUGUCAUCUGGUAAAACACUGACAACGAAUAAGCGAGCGCCCGAGCACAAAAACCAGUUACGUAGGCAUCCGACCCCGAGCGAGCUUCAGCAAACAAAAAUGACGCACUCCAUCUUUCCUGCCAAUUCGAGAUUCCAGCGGCAAGGCGCUUCAAUGGUCAGCUAAUAACUUCGCCAUUUUGCGAAGAUUGAUGAGCGAUCCACCAACAUUAUAACAAGUUACUGGCGAUGCCUGUCUGUACAUAGUAGAAAAAAUUCAAGAGAGACAAAUAGAGGUGGUUGGCGGUAGUUGGAGGUGGUUGGACGUGGUGGAAGGCGGUUAGGGGUGGACGAGGUGGACGAGGAGGAGGACGAGGAAGAAGAAGAAAAGAGGAUUUGUGCACGAUAUAACCCCAGGUGGUUAUCGUUGUUUGUUGGGGGUGGUUGGAGGUGGUCGCAGGUGGUCGGAAGUAUUCGACGGCGGUUGCGGGUGAUCGAGGUGGACAAGGAGGAGGACGACAAAGACGAGGAGAACAAGGUGGACAAGGAAGACAAGGAUUUGUGCUCGGUACAACCCGAGGUGGUUAUCGGUGGUUGUUCGAGGUGGUUGGCGA
rnacentral:lncRNA from 1 species